UUAAAUUGAAGAGUUUGAUCAUGGCUCAGAUUGAACGCUGGCGGCAGGCCUAACACAUGCAAGUCGAACGGUAGCACAGAGAGCUUGCUCUCGGGUGACGAGUGGCGGACGGGUGAGUAAU
rnacentral:rRNA from 5 species